CAAAGGGGAGCCAUCGGCUGAGAGUAAGGAAUUUCCUUAGACCCGAAACCUGAUCUGGAUAAUGCCAGCGUAGGGAUAUA
rnacentral:ncRNA from 1 species